GGCAGUGCCAUUUUCUUAACGUUUUCAAUAUUUUUUGAGUUUUGAAGACAAUAUUGUUUAUCAUUUAUUUAUGCCCUAUAAAGCAGAAAUAAAUGAAUUUAUUAAAAACAAGAUUCGCACUAUAAAACUAAAUGAGAGAAAUCCAAAAUUAAAGCUUCGCCAAAAUAUCUCAUACAUUGUAUGUGCCUUAAUUGUUGAAGAUGAUCGUAUUCUUUUGUUGCAAGAAAUUAAAUAUCCAUUUACAGGGAAAUGGUAUAUUCCUGGAGGCAAACUUACUUACAGAGAAAAUUUAGGCGUAGGUGCAUGUCGGGAAACUCUUGAAGAAACUGGUAUAAAAUGUCAUCCUAUAUCUUUAAUAAGUGUAGAAUGUGAUAAAGGAAAGUGGUUUCGAUGUAUAUUUCACUGUUCACCUCAAGGUGGUACCCUAAAAACAUAUCCCAAUAAACAUUCUCUUAAAGCUGACUGGUUUUCUAUAACUGAUAUUUAUCAAGAUAAAAUUAACUUAAGGUGAAAUGGAUUGUGAAUCAAGUGAUGAUGAUUAUUUACUAAAUAGCAAUCACAAUUCAGAAACUGAGAAAGAUGAUACAGAGAGUGAUAAAGAGGGAAAAGAAAAUAAUAAUUUUUAUAGUAAAGAUGGCUUGACCAAAUGGAGUAAGGCAUGUAUUCCCCAAAAAAGAACCAGAUCUCACAACAUUAUUUUAUUAAAUUCCCAUUCAUUAACAAUAGUAGUAACUUUAAGAAAAAAUAAAAAGCAGAUUCCAACAUCAUUUAAUUUAAAAAAGAAAGGUAUUUAUUCAAGUUUAUUUGCCUUCCAAGAUAAUAUGACAUUAGUAUCAUACGUACCAAAAAAGUAUAAGCAUGUUAUUAUGCUUUCUACCCUUCACUAUGAUAACAAUAUUGAUACAUCAACUGGGGAUUUGAAAAAACCAGAAAUUAUCACAUUUUACAAUCUCACCAAAGCUGGUGUUGAUGUUGUGGAUCAGCUAUGUUCAAAUUAUUCAAUAUCCAGAAUAACAAAUAGAUGGCCUAUGACAAUUUUUUAUAAUUUGUUGAAUAUAUCUUGCAUAAAUUCUUUAAUAAUUUAUAAAUCCAAUAAUUUAAAGGAGAUUAAUAGAUCAAAGUUUAUAAAAUUAUUAGCAAUGGAGCUAAUAACUCCAUUAAUGAGUAAUAGAUAUGAAAACCCACAUGUUAAUAUACUGCUAAGGGAUAAUAUUGGGAAUAUGCUUAAUAUAGAGGAAUUAAAACCUAUUUCAACCAAACAAAAAGGAAGGUGGUCCUCUUGUCCAAGGGUUAGGGACAAGAAAUCCUCAUUUAUUUGUUCAAAAUUUAUAUGCAAAG